rnacentral:rRNA from 1 species
AAUCUUGGACAAUGGGGGAAACCCUGAUCCAGCCAUGCCGCGUGAGUGACGAAGGCCCUAGGGUCGUAAAGCUCUUUCAACUGUGAAGAUAAUGACGAUAGCAGUAGAAGAAACCCCGGCUAACUCCGUGCCAGCAGCCGCGGUAAUACGGAGGGGGUUAGCGUUGUUCGGAAUUACUGGGCGUAAAGCGCACGUAGGCGGACUAUUAAGUCGAGGGUGAAAUCCCAGGGCUCAACCCUGGAACUGCCUUCGAUACUGGUAGUCUUGAGUUCGAGAGAGGUGAGUGGAAUUCCGAGUGUAGAGGUGAAAUUCGUAGAUAUUCGGAGGAACACCAGUGGCGAAGGCGGCUCACUGGCUCGAUACUGACGCUGAGGUGCGAAAGUGUGGGGAGCAAACAGGAUUAGAUACCCUGGUAGUCCACACCGUA